CAGAGAAGACACGUUUGAGGGCCUGUUCUCCCAAAAUGUGAAGGAGGCAGAGCAAGAUGGCCAAACAGAAACCUCCAGUGAUCAUCUCUCCACAUGAACACCAAAUUCAACAACUAUCCGUGCAAGCAAGCACCUUCAGAAGUACCAAAACUCAGCCCUGGAGGAAUAACUCGUAACUGUUUAAAGUCAACCAGGAUGGUCCCAUUUCUUUUCCCAGUCCAUACCCUUAUGGCCAACUGAGACAUGAGAAGAAGAUAUGAAGAGAAAGGUUGUCCUCAUUGAACUGAAAAAAAAAAAAUGGGAAGAAGUAGACCCACUUAUAAAGAAAAAACUUUCUUUUUUCAAUAGAGGUGUUUGGUAUUUUUUGGUAACUUGCAGCUGAAAAUAUUUGAUAAAAAUAAUUAUAAUUGUGUGUAAUAUAUCUUAUCCUUUAUCUCUUUAUCUAACCUUAACUCUGUAUCUCUUUAGUCAGAAUCUACAAACUGCCCAUAAUGAGCAAUGAUGGCAUUAGUAUGUUUCUAUUCUGCAGUGGUAUUCAGACAUACACACUGCUGUGGAAAUAAAUGAAGAUCAAACAAAUGAGAACAGGAAAAGCCUAUUUAUUUAGAGCUUUUUAUAGUAAGAGAGUCAGCCACCAUCACUUGCAUUCUGGUAGAGAAUCAAAAACUGCCCUGAUUAAAGGCUAUUGAUGUGGGGAAGCUGUAGGUGGGCUAACUAGAAGCAUGGCAUGGUCCAGGAUGAUCUCAUCUUAAGAUCCUUACCGUAGUUACAUUUGCAAAGGACCUUACUCCAAAUAAAGUCAAAUUCUGAGGUUCUUGGUGAGUCUACCUUUGGGAGGGGGACUAUUGACCCCAUGACAGUGUACAAUGCUGAACAGAAUAAAACCAUUAAA